CCAAAGAGCUUCUUCCCAGCAUGGGUUUUUGGGCCCCCUCCCCAAAAGACCAAAAGAGGUGCCUGCCACGUGAGUGUCUCAGACUGUUGGGCGGACAUGGCUCAGAAGGUUCACUGUCUUUAGGGAAAAGGACUAGAGAGGGACCUUUUGUUGCUGUAAGUAAGGAUGGUCCUCGGUUCCAAGAAGAAAAUUAAAGGCUGCUCCUGAGAUGAGCACAGUCAUUUGGAUGAAAGAAAACACAUGGUUGUGUUGAGAGAUCAGAUCUCGACAAGACGGGGCACUACCUCCUGCCCAGAGAGGAUCGGGCCCCAGGACGCGAAACUGGAAUUCACGUGAGAAUCCUUCGCCCCUGUUCUAGCACCUCUAGCUGGCGAUCUCCACGCUCAUCACAGGAGCUAAUUAGUUCUUGUCGCCACUGCCGCACGCGCGCAGGGUACGUGCCCAUUUUCCUGAUGGAAAAACUGACAAGGAGCACACGGGCAGGAAAGACGUUCUUGGAGGGAAAAGAUACUCCAUCUGCUUCGCCGUGGUCGCCUCGGGAGACCUGUCCGUGUUCCUUUUGCCCCGGGGGCUCUGUUUGCUGCUGAGCCCAGAGGCUCUACCCUCCAGGGUGUGGUUCUGCCAUCCGUCCCCAACUUUGGAAUAAACGUGGCAAAGUACUAGGCUGGAAGGGAACUGCUCACCAGAGCACCGCCUUUGGAAAAUAAUGCACUCGUCUGGGGCCUGCCCUCUGGAGCCAGCAUCCACGGUUUGAACCCCGGGUCUUGCACUUACCAGCUGUGUGACCUUGAACAGAGUCUUAAAAAAUUGAAAGAAGUCUGUUCAAAGCAACAACAGAGAGGAUGAACCGAAGAGAGAGCCGAGAUGUUACAGAACCAGAAGGACAUCCCAGCGACCGUGCUGCUGCUGCCCACCAGGAAGACGGGGUUUGACACAACAUGCCUAAUGACAAGUUUUUGGUAAAUAAAACAAUUCCGUGUUUACCUACCCCAGUGAGUCGAGAUCCCCUGAUAAACCGCCUCCCCACAGCCUUCUUUGUUCCUUCCUGCAAGCCUGCAGGGCAGGCACCGUCAGCAUUCUCGUCUUACAGACAAGGAAACCGGGGUUCAGAGAGGUUCAGCGAGUUCCCAGGGUCACCCAGCUCCAAGGCGGGUGUUUGAAACUCGUCCUUAUUGGUUUUAGAACCUGGGCUUUCAAUGCCUUUGGUGCUGCGGGGGACACUGAGCUGAAGUCAACGCGGGAGGGAGAGAGUAGAACCUUCUACCAGAAUGGGACGGAGCCCGGUGG